AAAAGUCAUUCCCAAAAGAUGUCCUAUUGUGCAAUUCCAUUUAUAUGAAAUGUCCAAACUGGGGAUGCUAUGGGGACAGAGUGUAGAUCAUUGAUUACCAGAGGCUGAGCAAAUUGGUGGGAAAUGGAAGAUGAAUGCCAAUAGUUACAGUGUUUCUUUUUAGGACAAUAGAAAUGUGAUAGCAGUGAUGUUUUCUCAAUUUGGAGAAUAUACUAAGAGCCAUUGUUUUAAACUUGUGAGUUGUAUGCCAUCUAAAUAUAACUGAAAAAAACCCUUACCGCACCCCCCCCCCAAUAAACCAAAAAAGAGAAAGUUGGAAACUGGAUUUAAUAAGACAACAUCAAUUCUGGAAAACUGAAUUCAAGCCAGGCUGCACUGGUGUGUGAGAUGGAGCCAUUUAAAGUGAGGAUUCCCUGGGAAUUGCAGGAAGUGCACUGCACAGGUACUUCCUGCUCCUUAGUUCCCGCCAUUGCAGAGCUGGAAAGAAUCACUUUCUAGGACCAUAUCAAAGAAGCAAAUAGGCUCUGUCAUUUCCCAGACAAUUUGGCAGAAUGUGUUUCAUUUUACUUUAUCUUGAGAAGGAAGAGGAACAGAGACCUGAAUUCUCAAGACCAUGCUGCAUGAAGUCCCCUCUGCACAGGGUUGGAAGCACCUUCAGAGCAAGGAGGGAGCCUUCACCCAUGGCUUGGAGGAAGGGAGGGGCAGAGGACCUGCUCUUUCCCAUGUUACCCCUUCCCGGAAAACACAAUUCUGGCUGCACAGAAGGCUGAAGACUUAUUCAUCCCUGCUCUGAAUGAAGAGGAUGAGCAAAGGCUUCCAGUCGAACUGAGCUCUAGUAGCCCCUUUUCCAAAAACCAAAAUCUGGCUGGGAACAUGGCAUUCCCUUUCCACCUCUCCUUAGGGUGGGUGCUCACACCUCUCUCUGUCCCCAGCCUCUGCAGUGGCCUGAGAUUGGGUCUGAGACUAAGUUUUAGGGUGUUUACUGUAUUGUGCAGAGAAGGGACUUAAGAGUUUUCCCCCUUAGGAGGAAAGGGGAGAAAGAAGCUGAGGCCUGGAGAAACCUCAGCAGGACUUUGGGGAUGGGGUUUGGUGGGGGGAUGUCAUUGCAGUCCCCAAAUCUAGGCUCUUGCUGCCCCCUGGUGGCUUAGCUGAGACAGCCCAAAACCAAGAAUAAGGAGGAGACUAGGGAAUCGGCUUCACCUCCCUUCCACCCUUUCUCCCUUUCCUUCCAAAAUGGAAUUUGCUCCCCACCCACCACUCCUGAUGUCUGUGUAAUGCACUCUAUGCUCCAUGGAUAAGUUCCUGACGCUCCAUCUAGAGUAGAAUCUGUCACCUGACACACUCCCAGCUCAGGACCACUAGCUUCCCCAGGGACCCUUGUCAAUGGAUCACUACCUGGGAAGUAGGUCUCUAUUCAGAGCAGGAGGAAUGUGGAAUAAAAAUUGAAGCCAAUACUGGCAGUAGACAUGCAAGAGAGAAAUGGGACAAAGAGAAAACAUUUUGGAGUUUUUAAAUGUCUGACAUAAAACUCAAGAGGGGAGAAACUGAGGAGGUUCUAGGAACCCUGGAAAAGAUUUUGUGUUCUCAGCAGGUGAGGAGGAGUUGGACAGGGCUCAAAGGAGCCUCAGCCUGAGGGUCUAGCUCUAAGCACCUCCUGUCAGAGGGGAGUCCUGUCUGGGAAAUCUCGGACUCUAGUUCCACCCAUGAAGAGAUGUGUGAGUUUUUUUAACACAAAGUUGUAUGUAGGGAAUUGAGAGCUAAACUGUGGCUCUAGAGAUAUCAGGUGUAAUCAUUUACAAGUCCUGUAAUUGUUAUCACAUUUGGGGAAAGGUCCUAUACAAAUAUGGUUAAAUUAGGAUCUUGAGAUGGGAAGAGUGUCCUGGAUUGAGAUAAGAAGAGGGCCUGGAUAUAUAUCACAAGUGUUCCUGUGAGAAAGACACAGGGAGAUUAUACACACACACACACACACACACACACGCACAUGUACGCACACAUGUGCGCGCGCGCACACACACACACACACACACACACACCCACACACAAACACACACCGGAGAUGACCAUAUGAAGGAGAAGGCAGAAAUUGGAGUGAUGGAGCCACAAGCCAAGGAAUUAUGGCCACCACCAGCAAUAGGAAAAGGCAAGAAAUGGAUCUACUUAGAGCCUCUGGAAGAAGUUUGGCCCCCACUAACACGUUGAUGUUGGCCCAGUGUUGGUGAUUUCUGACCUCUGGCCUCCUGAACUGUGAGGGAAUAAAUUUCUUUUGAUUAUUGCUGUCCAGUCUGUGAUUUGUCACAGCUGCCACAGGAAACUCAUACAUAAAGUCAGUACUCUACUCUGGAAUGACUGGACAUUGCAGAUCUGGCUUCCUAAGGAGUUUGUUACUAGAGUUAGAGCUCUCAGCCUCCCAGUCUCCUAGCUCCCCUUCCUUACUUGCUCUGAUCACAGGGUGGGCAGUACAUUUUUGGUGGUCCAUCUGUCUUGCCCUGAGGGUCUCUGUACUCUUGACCAUUUCCAACACCCAUGAAGGUCAGGCAUCCUUGCUGGUACCUCUCUCUUUGCCACUCACUUGACUUCUACGUUUAAGCCUCACCAACAGGCUUCUAUCACUUCCAGGUCCUGCCAUCUCUAUUGCUACCACAGAGCCCCCUUCUUCCCUGCCUCCCCAACCUGGCCCUAGCUUAGAGGAGAGCCACCCACUGAACUUUUGGAUGAUGCUGGUGCUUCUCUGCCAGCACAUUCCUCAUUGCUCAAGUAAAUGCUGUGUCUGCCAGGCCCUCCUGAGAAUCAUCUACCGUGGGGAGCUGUCCAGCCUUACCUGGUAGAGCCACUCCUGCCGAAUGCUUCUGAAGCCAUCAUUUUCUCAGUCUUUCUAAGGGUCAUCGUCCUGGCGGUGAGCUUGCAGAUUGUCUCAACAUCCUUGGCAGUUAAGAGUACUUCUAAUAGGGCUUCUAAUAAUAAACUCCCUUCAUCCAAA